AUGUUCAGAUUAGCCAUGCAUGUGUAGUAUAAGUAUUAUACAGCGAAACUGCGAAUGGCUCAUUAAAACAGUUAUAAUUUAUUUGAUAUUUGAAAGUUACAUGGAUAACCGUGGCAAUUCUACAGCUAAUACACGCUUUAAAACCUGACUUUUUGGAAGGGUUGUAUUUAUUAGAUAUUAAACCAAUUCCUUCGGGAUUGUGAUGAAUCAUAGUAACUGAUCGGAUCGAGGUUCGCCUUGAUAAAUCAUUCAAGUAUCUGCCCUAUCAGCUUUAGAUGGUAGUGUAUUGGACUACCAUGGCUAUCACGGGUAACGGAGAAUUAGGGUUCGAUUCCGGAGAGGGAGCCUGAGAAACGGCUACCACAUCUAAGGAAGGCAGCAGGCGCGAAAAUUGCCCAAUCCCAAUUCGGGGAGGCAGUGACAAGAAAUAACAACCCGGGGUAUUUUACCCAGGGAUUGCAAUGAGAACAAUUUAAAAACCUUAUCGAGUAUCAACUGGA
rnacentral:rRNA from 1 species